rnacentral:rRNA from 1 species
UACGUAGGUGGCAAGCGUUGUCCGGAUUUACUGGGCGUAAAGGGCGUGCAGGCGGUCUGUUAAGUGCAGGGUGGAAGCUCCCGGCUCAACUGGGAGAGGUCCUUGCAUACUGGCGGACUUGAGGGGGGUAGAGGAAAGUGGAAUUCCCGGUGUAGUGGUGAUAUGCGUAGAUAUCGGGAGGAACACCUGUGGCGAAGGCGGCUUUCUGGGCCCUACCUGACGCUGAGACGCGAAAGCGUGGGGAGCGAACCGG